UACGAAGGGGGCGAGCGUUGUUCGGAUUUACUGGGCGUAAAGGGCGCGCAGGCGGUCAUUUUUGUCGAGUGUGAAAGCCCCGGGCUUAACCUGGGAACUGCGCUCGAAACGGGAUGACUAGAGAUCGGGAGAGGAGAGUGGAAUUCCCAGUGUAGAGGUGAAAAUUCGUAGAUAUUGGGAAGAACACCGGUGGCGAAGGCGGCUCUCUGGACCGAGACUGACGCUGAGGCGCGAAAGCGUGGGGAGCAAACAGGG
rnacentral:rRNA from 1 species